rnacentral:rRNA from 1 species
CCUACGGGGGGCAGCAGUGGGGAAUUUUGCGCAAUGGGGGAAACCCUGAUGCAGCAACGCCGCGUGCGGGACGAAGGCCCUCGGGUUGUAAACCGCUUUCAGCAGGGAAGACUUUACGACGGUACCUGCAGAAGAAGCUCCGGCUAACUACGUGCCAGCAGCCGCGGUAAUACGUAGGGGGCGAGCGUUAUCCGGAUUCAUUGGGCGUAAAGCGCGCGUAGGCGGCCGCCUAAGCGGGACCUCUAACCCCGGGGCUCAACCCCGGGCCGGGUCCCGGCCGGGGCGGCUCGGGUGCGGUAGAGGAG